AGAGGGUGCAAGCGUUAAUCGGAAUUACUGGGCGUAAAGCGUGCGUAGUCGGUUAUUUAAGUCAGGUGUGAAAUCCCCGGGCUCAACCUGGGAAUUGCAUUUGAGACUGGAUAGCUAGAGUUCGGCAGAGGGAAGUGGAAUUUCAGGUGUAGCGGUGAAAUGCGUAGAUAUCUGAAGGAACAUCAGUGGCGAAAGCGACUUCCUGGACCAGAACUGACGAUCAGGCACGAAAGCGUGGGGAGCAAACAGGAUUAGAUACCCUGGUAGUCCACGCCAUAAACGAUGACAACUAGAUGUUGGGGACAAUUGGUCCACAGUGUCGUAGCUAACGCGUUAAGUUGUCCGCCUGGGGAGUACAGCCACAAGGUUG
rnacentral:rRNA from 1 species